rnacentral:tRNA from 1 species
GCCUGGCUGGCUAAGUUGGUAAAGCAUCUGACUCUUGAUCUCGACAUCAUGAGGUCAAGCCCCAUGCUGGGUA